rnacentral:rRNA from 1 species
UACGUAGGGGCCAAGCGUUAUCCGGAUUUACUGGGCGUAAAGCGCAUGUAGGCGGUCUGCCAAGUCGGACGUUAAAGCUCCUGGCUUAACUGGGAGAGGUCGUUUGAAACUGGCAGACUAGAGGACGGUAGAGGAGAGCGGAAUUCCAGGUGUAGCGGUGAAAUGCGUAGAUAUCUGGAGGAACACCAGUGGCGAAAGCGGCUCUCUGGCCCGCUCCUGACGCUGAGAUGCGAAAGCCAGGGGAGAGAAC